GACGAACGCUGGCGGCGUGCUUAACACAUGCAAGUCGAACGGACAGACAGAGAGCUUGCUCUCUUGAAGUUAGUGGCGAACGGGUGGGUAACGCGUAAUCAACCUGCCCUUCAGAGGGGGAUAACAACGGGAAACCGUUGCUAAUACCGCGUACGAUUCAUGAACGGCAUCGUUUAUGAAUGAAAGGUGGCCUCUAUGUAUAAGCUAUCGCUGAAGGAGGGGAUUGCGUCUGAUUAGCUAGUUGGAGGGGUAACGGCCCGCCAAGGCAAUGAUCAGUAGCCGGUCUGAGUGGAUGAACGGCCUCAUUGGGACUGAGACACGGCCCAAACUCCUACGGGAGGCAGCAGUGGGGAAUCUUCCGCAAUGGACGAAAGUCUGACGGAGCAACGCCGCGUGAGUGAUGAAGGUCUUCGGAUUGUAAAGCUCUGUUAAUCGGGACGAAAGAGUUCUGCGUGAAUAAUGCAGAAAAGUGACGGUACCGGAAUAGAAAGCCACGGCUAACUACGUGCCAGCCGCCGCCGUAA
rnacentral:rRNA from 1 species